rnacentral:lncRNA from 13 species
UGGAGCCCAGAAGCCAAAUAACAUGAGGCUGCUCACUACAACAGAAGUGGAUUUGGCAGCCUCACACUGUUUUAAGGAAGAAAGUUUUAGCUGCCAGAGGCUUGAAAGUCACUUCUCUGAGGCUCCAUAGCCCCCAACCUAGAAGAAAAAAACUAGAAUCCUACACUUUCUGGAAGAUGUUUGGCCUCAAAAUGUCAUAUGCUAAGUCACUUGUCAUUGCUGCCAAAUCAUUCUUUUGUGCAAAAUGCUACAACUCAACAAAAGUAAGUGUUCAUUUCCUACCCUUUGGCGUGAUUUUGG